rnacentral:lncRNA from 1 species
AACUUGGACUUUCAUCUGUCAAACAAUGAACACACAAUUUAAGCUAUUUUUUAUGGUGACCUGCCUGCUUGCAGUUACAAGUUGAGUUUUAUAAAAACGAAUGGAAAGAGUGAAAACUGAAAAUGUUAAUACUAGUGAUAAAAAGUGUAGGUCUUCUAAAAUUAGGUACAAUUGAAGCAAAAGUGAAAUAUUCAGAUGUGCCAAAAAGCUCAAACCAACCUCAACCAACUACUCAUUGUCUAUACUCAAUGUGUUCAACUGUGAAUGAAGCAAACAAGAUUAAACACAUAAAGGAAAUGUUGGGAAAAUGGCAUUAAAGAUUGUAUCUAAAAGAUUCAUCCUGGCAGAUUAAUACCCAGCAAGAGGGACCUGCUGUCAAUGGGCAUUUUGAAUUAUGUGUUUAAAAUUGCCUUUGAUGGCAAGGAUGCCAAAUUAUGCACUUCACUAAAACCAUUUCGUGCUUCUUCGCUAGUGAUGUGAUUGGAAACUGCAGAUGUUUGCUAUCAUCUUUUACUGCAUGUGUUUG